rnacentral:rRNA from 1 species
UACGGAGGGUGCGAGCGUUGUCCGGAAUUAUUGGGCGUAAAGAGCGUGUAGGCGGCCAGAUAAGUCCGCUGUGAAAGUCCAGGGCUCAACCCUGGGAUGCCGGUGGAUACUGUCGGGCUAGAGUGCGGAAGAGGCGAGUGGAAUUCCCGGUGUAGCGGUGAAAUGCGCAGAUAUCGGGAGGAACACCAAUUGCGAAGGCAGCUCGCUGGGACGUAACUGACGCUGAGACGCGAAAGCGUGGGGAGCGAACAGG